GUGUCAGCAGCCGCGGUAAUACGUAGGUGGCAAGCGUUGUCCGGAUUUAUUGGGUUUAAAGGGUGCGUAGGCGGCCUAUUAAGUCAGUGCUGAAAUAUCCCGGCUUAACCGGGAGGGUGGCAUUGAUACUGAUGGGCUUGAGUAAAGUUGAGGUAGGCGGAAUUGACGGUGUAGCGGUGAAAUGCUUAGAUAUCGUCAAGAACACCUAUUGCGAAGGCAGCUUACUAAGCUUUAACUGACGCUGAUGCACGAAAGUGUGGGGAUCAAACAGGAUUAGAAACCCCAGUAGUCC
rnacentral:rRNA from 1 species